CCUGAACGCUGGCGGCGUGGCUAAGACAUGCAAGUCGCACGGAGGUAGCAAUACCUCAGUGGCGAACGGGUGAGUAAUGAAUCGCUAAUGUGCCCCGGACUCUGAGAUAGCUGGCCGAAAGGCCAGGUAAUAUCAGAUGAUAUAACCGAACCGCAUGGUUUGGUUCUCAAAGGUCCGCCGGUCUGGGAGCAGGCGAUUUCGUAUCAGCUAGUUGGUGAGGUAACGGCUCACCAAGGCGACGACGGGUAGCCGGCCUGAGAGGGCGACCGGCCACACUGGGACUGAGACACGGCCCAGACUCCUACGGGAGGCAGCAGUGGGGAAUCUUGCGCAAUGGGCGAAAGCCUGACGCAGCGACGCCGCGUGAGGGAUGACGGCCU
rnacentral:rRNA from 1 species